AGAUACAGUAUCAUUUUGCAGAGUUACCAAAGCAACAACACUUGGCUCUUCGUGAUUCCUUAAUUGAACAUCUUCAGCAGUAUUCAUUAGCAUCACAUGCAACAUUAACUCAGUUAUGUUUAGCAUUAGCACAUAUGGCUUUGCAAAGUCCUCAGUGGGAAAAUCCUGUUGCUGAACUUGUUC
rnacentral:lncRNA from 1 species